UCCAGACUCCUACGGGAGGCAGCAGUGGGGGAUAUUGCACAAUGGGGGGAACCCUGAUGCAGCGACGCCGCGUGGGUGAAGGAGCGUUUCGGCGCGUAAAGCCCUAUCGGCAGGGAAGAAGGAGGACGGUACCUGACUAAGAAGCCCCGGCUAACUACGUGCCAGCAGCCGCGGUAAUAAGUAGGGGGCAAGCGUUAUCCGGAUUUACUGGGUGUAAAGGGGGCGCAGACGGCAGCGCAAGCCAGGAGUGAAAGCCCGGGGCCCAACCCCGGGACUGCUCUUGGAACUGCGCGGCUGGAGUGCAGGAGGGGCAGGCGGAAUUCCUGGUGUAGCGGUGAAAUGCGUAGAUAUCAGGAGGAACACCGGUGGCGAAGGCGGCCUGCUGGACUGCGACUGACGUUGAGGCCCGAAAGCGUGGGGAGCAAACAGGAUUAGAUACCCGGGUA
rnacentral:rRNA from 1 species